CUGGACCAUGGGCUGGCAGCCGCCCUACCAGAGCGAAAGCCGCGUCUAUGCAAAGUAUCUGCUGAAGGAAAAGCCCGACGCGAAGAUCGCGAUCAUGUACCAGAACGACGACUUCGGCAAAGACAUGCUGAAGGGUCUCAAGGACGGUCUCGGCGCCAAGGCGUCGCAAGUCAUCGCGGAAGACAGCUAUGAAGUGUCCG
rnacentral:misc_RNA from 1 species